GACGAACCGUGCGAACGUUGUUCGGAAUCACUGGGCUUAAAGGGCGCGUAGGCGGCUCCGCAAGUCGGGGGGUGAAAUCUUUCGGCUCAACCGGAAAAGUGCCUCCGAUACUGCGGAGCUCGAGGGGGAUAGGGGCGGACGGAACUUCCGGUGGAGCGGUGAAAUGCGCAGAUAUCGGGAGGAACACCCGUAGCGAAGGCGGCACUCUGGGCCGGAACUGACGCUGAGGAGCGAAAGCGUGGGGAGCAAACAGG
rnacentral:rRNA from 1 species